rnacentral:rRNA from 1 species
AUACGGAGGAUCCGAGCGUUAUCCGGAUUUAUUGGGUUUAAAGGGAGCGUAGGUGGAUUGUUACGUCAGUUGUGAAAGUUUGCGGAUCAACCGUAAAAUUGCAGUUGAAACUGGCAGUCUUGAGUACAGUAGAGGUGGGCGGAAUUCGUGGUGUAGCGGUGAAAUGCUUAGAUAUCACGAAGAACUCCGAUUGCGAAGGCAGCUCACUAGACUGUUACUGACACUGAUGCUCGAAAGUGUGGGUAUCAAACAGGAUUAGAUACCCUGGUAGUCCACACAGUAAACGAUGAAUACUCGCUGUUUGCGAUAUACAGUAAGCGGCCAAGCGAAAGCAUUAAGUAUUCCACCUGGGGAGUACGCCGGCAACGGUGAAACUCAAAGGAAUUGACGGGG